rnacentral:rRNA from 1 species
CUAGUAACGGCGAGUGAAGCGGCAACAGCUCAAAUUUGAAAUCUGGCCCUCGGGUCCGAGUUGUAAUUUGUAGAGGAUGCUUUUGGCGCGGUGCCUUCCGAGUUCCCUGGAACGGGACGCCUUAGAGGGUGAGAGCCCCGUACGGUUGGACACCAAGCCUCUGUAAAGCUCCUUCGACGAGUCGAGUAGUUUGGGAAUGCUGCUCUAAAUGGGAGGUAAAUUUCUUCUAAAGCUAAAUAUUGGCCAGAGACCGAUAGCGCACAAGUAGAGUGAUCGAAAGAUGAAAAGCACUUUGAAAAGAGGGUUAAAUAGCACGUGAAAUUGUUGAAAGGGAAGCGUUUGCGACCAGACCUUUUCCUAGCGGAUCAUCCGGUGUUCUCACCGGUGCACUUCGCUAGGUCGAGGCCAGCAUCGGUUUUCGUAGGGGGAUAAAAGCCCUGGGAACGUAGCUCCUCCGGGAGUGUUAUAGCCCUCUGCAUAAUACCCUUACGGGGACCGAGGACCGCG